AGUGAACGCUGGCGGCGUGCUUAACACAUGCAAGUCGAACGAGAACGGAUUAUAGCUUGCUAUAAUUGUCAGCUAAGUGGCGCACGGGUGAGUAAUAUAUAGGUAACAUGCCCUUUACAAAGAAAUAACAGUUGGAAACGACUGCUAAUGUCUUAUAUGCCUCUAAUACAUAAGUAUGCGAGGGAAAGAUUUAUCGGUAAAGGAUUGGCCUGUACGGUAUCAGCUAGUUGGUGAGGUAAAAGCUCACCAAGGCAAUGACGCCUAACUGGUUUGAGAGGAUGAUCAGUCACACUGGAACUGAGACACGGUCCAGACUCCUACGGGAGGCAGCAGUGGGGAAUAUUGCACAAUGGGGGAAACCCUGAUGCAGCAACGCCGCGUGGAGGAUGACACAUUUUCGGUGCGUAAACUCCUUUUAUAUAGGAAGAUAAUGACGGUACUAUAUGAAUAAGCGCCGGCUAAC
rnacentral:rRNA from 1 species